AAAUUGAAGAGUUUGAUCAUGGCUCAGAUUGAACGCUGGCGGCAGGCCUAACACAUGCAAGUCGAACGGUAACAGGAAGCAGCUUGCUGCUUCGCUGACGAGUGGCGGACGGGUGAGUAAUGUCUGGGAAACUGCCUGAUGGAGGGGGAUAACUACUGGAAACGGUGGCUAAUACCGCAUAACGUCGCAAGACCAAAGAGGGGGACCUUCGGGCCUCUUGCCAUCAGAUGUGCCCAGAUGGGAUUAGCUUGUUGGUGAGGUAAUGGCUCACCAAGGCGACGAUCCCUAGCUGGUCUGAGAGGAUGACCAGCCACACUGGAACUGAGACACGGUCCAGACUCCUACGGGAGGCAGCAGUGGGGAAUAUUGCACAAUGGGCGCAAGCCUGAUGCAGCCAUGCCGCGUGUAUGAAGAAGGCCUUCGGGUUGUAAAGUACUUUCAGCGGGGAGGAAGGUGUUGUGGUUAAUAACCGCAGCAAUUGACGUUACCCGCAGAAGAAGCA
rnacentral:rRNA from 1 species